AUUGAACGCUGGCGGCAGGCCUAACCCAUGCAAGUCGAACGAGUGGCGGACGGGUGAGUAAUGUCUGGGAAACUGCCUGAUGGAGGGGGAUAACUACUGGCAACGGUAGCUAAUACCGCAUACCCUCGGAUGUGCCCAGAUGGGAUUAGCUAGUAGGUGGGGUAACGGCUCACCUAGGCGACGAUCCCUAGCUGGUCUGCGAGGAUGACCAGCCACACUGGAACUGAGACACGGUCCAGACUCCUACGGGAGGCAGCAGUGGGGAAUAUUGCACAAUGGGCGCAAGCCUGAUGCAGCCAUGCCGCGUGUAUGAAGAAGGCCUUCGGGUUGUAAAGUUCUUUCAGCGAGGAGGCGUUACUCGCAGAAGAAGCACCGGCUAACUCCGUGCCAGCAGCCGCGGUAAUUC
rnacentral:rRNA from 1 species